AUUAGCCAUGCAGGUGUAAGUAUAAAUCAUAUUAACGAUAAAACUGCGANUAGCUCAUUAGAACACUUAUAAUUAACACGGUGAUCUUUUUAUAUGGAUAUCCAUGGUAAUUCUGGAGUUAAUACAUGCAAUCAAUGGCGUCAAACCAUUGUGCAGCCAUGAUAUUAAUCACCGAACAAGUUCGCUUGUUUGGAUGACCCUCGUGGACUAGUGAAUCGCUUUUGCGAUAGACCGUUUUAGUUUGUGACCUAUCAGCUUUGUCGGUAAGGUAUUGGCUUACCGAGGCGAUUACGGGUAACGGAGAAUUGGGGUUCGAUUCCGGAGAGGGAGCCUGAGAAACGGCUACCACAUCUAAGGGUGGCAGCAGGCGCGCAAAUUACUCAAUCCCGACACGGGGAGGUAGUGACAAAAAAUAACAGCACGAUGCAUUUGCUUCGUGACUGUAAUGAGCAGAAAUUACAAAAGUAUGCGAGUAUCAAUUGGAGGGCAAGUCUGGUGCCAGCAGCCGCGGUAAUUCCAGCUCCAAUAGCGUAUAUUAAAAUUGUUGCAGUUAAAGCGUUCGUAGUUUACACUCCGCAGUUCGGCAAGUUAGAGACCCAGUUUUUGGGUGCUCACUCGUUUGAACUGUUGCGCACUAGUUGCGUGCUAUUACUUUGAGUAAAUGGAAAUGCUCCAAGCAGGCUUUAGCCUGAACCGCUCAGCAUGGAAUAAUAUAAUAUAGCUCCUUCGCGACUUGUCGGUGAGUAGCUUGGGAUGUGAUGAUUGAUAAGGACGGUCGGGGGCAUUUGUACUUGCUGGAGAGAGGUGAAAUUCUAAGACCCGGCAAAGACAGACUGACGCGAAAGCUUUUGCCCAGGACGUGCCUAUUAAUCAAGGACGAAAGUUGGGGGAUCGAAGACGAUUAGAUACCGUCGUAGUCUCAACCGUAAACGAUGCCGACAUAAUUUCGGCGAAGAGAGUUUAUAGUCUUCUUCGGAGUUACCAGAGAAAUCAAAGUCUUUGGGCCCUGGGGGGAGUAUGGUCGCAAGGCUGAAACUUAAAGGAAUUGACGGAAGGGCACCACCAGGAGUGGAGCCUGCGGCUUAAUUCGACUCAACGCGGGAAAUCUCACCAGGCCCGAACAUAAUUAUGAUUGACGGAUGAAAAGAUCUUUCUUGAUUCUAUGGGUGGUGGUGCAUGGCCGUUCUUAGUCGGUGAGGUGACUUGUCUGGUUAAUUCCGAUAACGGACGAGAUCUCGACUUAUUAACUGAUGAAAUGAAUUUUGAUUUAUUUGAUCGCUUAAUAGGACAUUGGAUGUUUAUUCCAAGGAAGUUCGAGCCUAUAACAGGUCUGUGAUGCCCUUAGAUGGCCUGGGCUGCACGUGCGCUACAUUGACAAAUGCAAAAAGUUACCUUGACUGAGAAGUCUGGGAAAUCUCAAAAGUUUGUCGUACUUGGAAUCGGUGCUUGCAAUUAUUCACCGUGAACGAGGAAUUCCUAGUAAGUACAAUUCACUAUAUUGUGCUGACUGCGUCCCUGCCCUUUGUACACACCGCCCGUCGCUUCAACCGAUUGGAUGAUUCGGCAAAUUUCGUGGACAUUAUUGUCACUUGUGACACGAUGGAAGCAAUGUGAGCCACAUUAUCU
rnacentral:rRNA from 1 species